rnacentral:rRNA from 1 species
UUUGGUGAUGAUGGAGAGACGGUCACACCCGUUUCCCAUACGAACACGGAAGUUAAGCUCUCUCGCGCCGAUGGUAGUUGGGACCGGUCCCUGUGAGAGCUAGGACGUCGCAAGCA